UAUGGAAAGGAAUGAAUUGUCUUCCUUGAAGUCUUGUGUCUAUUAUUUUGUCUUUUACUUUGGAGUAUCAGGUUCUGAAUACUCAUAACAAUGUCUUUUAAAGGUCUGCAAGUGAGCUCAGCAGAGCAUCACCUAACAUUUGUCCUGCAGACACCCAAGAAGUUUGCUACACACCCAAUCCAAUUGAAGUGGACAGCAAUCAAUCAACAGAUGCUGCAACAUUACAGAUCAUCGACGUAACAGAAGAUGAGGCAAAGCUGGAGUCCUUGGAUGAAUGGCGAUCCAGCAGGAUCCCGAGUACCAUGAGUCUUUACUUGCAGACCAAGAAAUGCAUGAACUGCAGAAGGAAUUCUCUGAAAUGGAGGAAAGACGCAGAAAGGACUGAUCUAAGAAACAUUUUGAACCGACUUGGGGAGAAGAUUGAUCACAAUUCAUGUCCCACCAGCAAUCAGAUCAACAUAUGCAGAGGCUACACUGGCAAUAUCCACAACAUACUGACGGAGUACCAUCAAGAAACUCAAUUUUUAUUUUAGAAGGAGAAUGUGCCCCCUUAACCUUGGAGAAUGUGCUGGAGUUUGCAUCGGGGUCCUCCACUAUACCUCCCAAUGGCUUUCUCCUUCAGCACACAAUUGAAAUCCUUUCAGAAAAGUUGGGCAAGAUUUUUCCAGAAGCAAAUACAAUAAAAUAUAUGUAAAAUUGUUUUAAGAUUGCCAGUCCACAAAGACUUUGAUUCAUUCAAAGCAAAAAUGUGCAAUGCUCUUCUUUGGGCACCAACUUUUGGUGUAGCUUAGACAGCCACAAGUUUCAUUGUGCACUCUUUUCAAGUUUAAAAAAAAAUGCUGAGGUGUCUCAUUUUCACAGUUUUCUUAGUGCACUGUUUAAACUGUUGAAUUUAAGAUUUUAAUACUGUAAAAGUUUGGAAUGUUUACACAAAUGUUUUCAGUGUCUUUAUUGCAUUGUAUUAUGCAAAUAUGUAAUAUGGACAGGAUUGAACAGACCAUGCUGAAUUUGGAUGAACUGACCAGGAAAAAAAAUUGGCCACUUGGGAGAAGUGCAACAAACUGUAAACAAAACUGUUAUUUACAUAUUCAGUAGACACAAAGCAAUAAAAUUAUCCAAUUGUAGUGGGUGAAUACAUGUCCAAUAUUCACACUUCAUUUGCUCUUUUGUUGCUCUUAAUGUCCCCAAAAUUAUAUCUGGCCUGAUAACUUUGUCAGCUGUUUGUUGAUUGCCAGGUAUUCUAAAAUGGGGUUUAGUCCUUUUCUCCUAACAUGAGUUGUUCGAUGCUGUGAUACUGUGUAAAAAAUCAUAUAUGAUCCAGCAUUUCACGAGGAAUGCUUACUGUCUCAAUGUAUGUUUGUAUUAUCUCUGGCAAUGUUACAUUGGAUUUGGCAAUGUCGCCAUUUCUGCCACAGAUAGUUCAAGGAGCAGCUCCACCAAAGGAAUGUGAACUUCAUCUGUCGCAGGUCUCUGAAGCCCUAUCCUGUCAAUGCUGCAUUUGUCAUCUGCCUGGAAUUAGUUGUGAAAGUGUGUAUUAGGUUUAAAAUAAUAAAUUUGUAUUCCUGUUAAUGUCACAUAUUUUGAAAAAAAUGUAA